rnacentral:rRNA from 1 species
AUUGAACGCUGGCGGAAUGCUUUACACAUGCAAGUCGAGCGGCAGCGCGGGGGCAACCUUGGCGGCGAGCGGCGAACGGGUGAGUAACAUAUCGGAACGUACCCAGUCGUGGGGGAUAACUAUCCGAAAGGAUAGCUAAUACCGCAUACGUCCUGAGGGAGAAAGCGGGGGAUCGCAAGACCUCGCGCGAUUGGAGCGGCCGAUAUCGGAUUAGCUAGUUGGUGGGGUAAAGGCUCACCAAGGCGACGAUCCGUAGCGGGUCUGAGAGGACGACCCGCCACACUGGAACUGAGACACGGUCCAGACUCCUACGGGAGGCAGCAGUGGGGAAUAUUGCACAAUGGGGGAAACCCUGAUGCAGCGACGCCGCGUGAAGGAUGAAGUAUUUCGGUAUGUAAACUUCUAUCAGCAGGGAAGAAAUGACGGUACCUGACUAAGAAGCACCGGCUAACUACGUG